UCACAACAAAUGCUGGAGUGAGUUUGUAAAAUCCAGCAGACUCAACCGCUGGUUCUUAAUCUUUCUGUCCUGUGAGCGCCAUCUGUAGUCGGUUCUCCUUUUAACCCUACAAAGCCCGAACCAUGAAAGUUCCCAGAAAAAAGUUCCCAUUUUUUAAACGUAUUUAUUUUACUGAAGCCUUUAUUAAACCGUGUGACAAAAGUAAAAAUGAAUAAAAUGAAUAAAAAUAAAUUACAUAUAAAUGUACACGACUCAUUUUUGCGACAGUCGGUGUUUUUGUGCACUUUAUGGGGGACAAAAAUCACGUUAUACGGUUAACAGGUCUGAGUUCCUGCAACACAGAAAAUAGAUCAACACUAAAUAAUAAUAGCCAACAAUUUACAAAAAGGUAAAAGUAUUUUACAGUGUGGUGUGAUGUUCUGAAUUUCAAAGCUGUUCCAAGAUGGAUUAUCAAUUUUUCCCCUUCAAAAAAACAACAACAAAAACAACAAAAAAGGACUACUUUGUCCGGGUGCCAGGGGACGUCCUGAUUGGCCAGGGAAUCGCAGUUUUCUUAAAAUACCACAGUGUCUGCACAUAUAAGAGGAAAGUUUCAAACAUUUUCUUUGGAUGAUUGCACUUUAAUUCAUCUGCGUCCUGUCUGACGGGUUAUUUUUAGGGCUCUUUUCACCAAAUAUAACCCGCCUCGGUCGUUUGUCAUCGCGUCACAACAGGUAACAUUAUCCCAUUUAGCCUUUUCCUCUUCCUCACUGGCUGGGUCGGAGGAGAGGUGUGGGGUUUGGGGCUAUAAAAGGAGGGACGGUUACAAGUGCCUGACACUCAUCUUCGGUCUGCUGAGGUAAGAGAUGAAGACGCCUUUUCUUUUCACCUCACAGGGGGCUGCUUUAAAUACCCACGAUAGAACUUCUUUAAAACUUGAGAAAAAAGAACAUUUUAUUGCCUUUUUAAAAAAGCACGAGCAAUGUCUGAUCGUUUGCAACCAAUGCUUAUUCGUUAGGUGGAAACAACGGCGACAAAAAUGACUAUUUGGUGCAACUUGUGUAAAUGUCACGUCAGUACUCCUUGCACUUCCCACCAUCUGCCCGCGGAUCACCGGAGCCCAGUCUACAGGAGGUUCAGAUCCACCAAAGGGGCAUCCAAAGCUCGACGGGACCACAUCAAUCAUGAGAUCAAGAACAUGCGUGCUCUGCUGCCCAUCACCCUGGAGGACCAGGAGCGACUCUCGUACCUUCACUCCAUGGCCGUCAUCUGCACCUACAUCAGGAAGUCUGUCCAGGGGCUCCCAGCUGGAGAGCGAUCACACUGCUCUCUGCCACAUGAGGUCUUUCUUCAAGCCUUGCACGGUUUCAUCCUCGUCUCCACCGCACAGGGCAGGCUGGUGUAUGUGUCAGAAAAUGUAGCAGAGUAUCUUGGGGUUUCCAUGCUAGAUGCACUGCAGGGAGAUGCAGUAUAAGACAUGGACUCCAGUGCAUGGAUCUGUCAUGGUGCUGGAUCUAUAGUUGAGCCAUAUGGAGAGUGCCAGCCCAUUAGCUGGAGCAGGAGGAGGUCAGCCAUGACAUUCUGAUGGAUGAGCAUGCAUGCACAGAUCAGGGGCUGUGCUCUACUCUCUGCUCAGAGACCGAGCUCACCUGUCACCAUUCACCCUCAGGCUCCCAAACCUUUUGACCAGCCAUCCUUUGACAUGCUCAGUGGCCACACUCCACCCACCUCAUCAUCGCCAUCCUGUGAUUUCAGAGAUGAUAUAUCUGACGCUCGCUUAGUUCCAGACUGUCACUCUGUGUCCGACAUGUGUGAGAGCCCAGCGGACUGUGCUCUGCAUCCAGAUGAUUUCGGCCUUCUGUUGCAGCCACUUUGAGGCAACUUUGUCCAACUGCAUCAUGAUACUCCUGACUUAUCCACACAUACCAAUCUUCUACAGCCACAGAAGCUGGUUCUUGAUGUUGGCAUGUUAGACAGCUUCAUUAAAGAUCUAAACAUGUUCACAAGGAAAAGCAGCAUAUUGAGCAAUACUAGCUACCAUCUAGCAGCAGUGUAUAACAGGAAUGGGACCCAUCCCCAUCAGAAGCUGCUGGCUGCAGAGCACUUCACCGUGCAGCAUCACCAUAGAUCCCAUCAGUAUGCAGCUGGGACACCAUGAUCAAACCACUGGGUUGCAUCAACUCAAUUCACCAGCUAUAUGCAAAGCAGCAUUCAGCAAGGUACUUUCUACUAAACAGUCCACCUAUUUAUUGAUUUGCUGCUUUGGUAUGUAAGCUUUAGAGAUAUUUAAUUAAUGUCUAAUUUUAUUUGUAUGACAUAUUGUCAUAAACCUCCACUGGAUUUAAAGAAGAGUGUGAGUAAAGACAACUAAAGGACAUCUUCUCAGAUGUUAUUUUUUUUAUAAGAAACUUAUUCCUGAAUGUAGAGCUAAAGCUCAUGUAGAUUUUGUUUUCCUUGGGCUUCACUCAAAGUAUUGACAGGUGUCACAAUCCUGUAGGUAGCAAACUGAAAUGUCAUAUGUGCCACCAGCUACAGGCUGAGACAUCCGUCAUCUUCUAUUCUUCUGAUACAUCAAGAAAACAAAUAUCAGUAAAAGACAUUUCAAGGAAACCUUCGCUAAAACGUCGUGUCUGCAAGCAACUUAUGUGGGUUUUAUACUGUCCCAACACUAUGGAUAAAACCUGCUGUCAGCUGAGUUUUGUUUUGCUAAAGUCUUUUUUUUCAUAAAAAUGUACUUGAAAAACAAAAUAAAAGUAAGUGAGAUUAUUCACCCUGCUUUAGCGCCAUAGUUUUUUAACACAAAUUGGGUUUUUUUUUGCCAUUAAAACUUUCAUACUGUCAUAGUUAAAGAUGUUAGUCAAGAUGAAGCUACCUCAGUGGUACAGCUAAAUCCAUUCAAAGUCUGAAUUUUGUGCCUUAAAUUGUGUUAUUCCCUGCAUAUUCAGAACUCUGAGUCAUUCCUGCGGUUUGCUUCAGAAAUAUUUGAAAUGUAAAUAAAUCUAAA